CCUACGGGAGGCAGCAGUGAGGAAUAUUGGUCAAUGGACGCGAGCCUGAACCAGCCAAGUAGCGUGAAGGAUGACUGCCCUACGGGUUGUAAACUUCUUUUAUAUGGGAAUAAAGUGUUCCACGUGUGCCUUUUUGUAUGUACUAUAUGAAUAAGGAUCGGCUAACUCCGUGCCAGCAGCCGCGGUAAUACGGAGGAUCCGAGCGUUAUCCGGAUUUAUUGGGUUUAAAGGGAGCGUAGGUGGGUUGUUAAGUCAGUUGUGAAAGUUUGCGGCUCAACCGUAAAAUUGCAAUUGAUACUGGCAGUCUUGAGUACAGUAGAGGUAGGCGGAAUUCGUGGUGUAGCGGUGAAAGGCUUAGAUAUCACGAAGAACUCCGAUUGCGAAGGCAGCUGACUAAACUGCCACUGACAUUGAGGCUCGAAAGUGUGGGUAUCAAACAGGAUUAGAUACCCUGGUAGUC
rnacentral:rRNA from 1 species